UCGAUCCCUAUAAAUAAAGAUCCAUUUACAAGGAGAAAAAGAAAGGGGGAAGGUAGUGGAGGGCCGGAGAGGAGGGGGGCGAUCUUGCAUUAAAUAAAUAAUUAAAGGAACCUGCUGCUGCUCGGGUUUGCCUCCUGCCGGGGAAGGGAGGCGGGUUUGAAGCGCUCCCGCACGUCUGGAGGGGGGCGAGCUUGUCUCAGACAGGUGAUGGGCGUUUCGGCGGCGCUCCGGAUUGACUCCUUGGGUUUCACUUUGGUCUGAUCUAAGCAAAUAUGCAGAAGUACCGGCUGGUCCAGUCCUAGGAGCGCGCGCGAGAGAGCAGCAGAAGCGGAGCUCCUCUAGCAAAGGGAACAUACAAACCCCCCCGGGCGCACCCCAACGUGGACAAAGAGCCCCGAGCCGCACCAGUGUCUUUCCCCGAGGGAUGGUACUGAAUUUCCCAGCCACAGGAGCCGGGCUGGAGCUCCGCCGCAGCACCCUUGCCUUGGAUUCGUGCCCCGAGUGCAUUAGAACGCGAUGAGGACCUGGGCUUGCGUUUUGCUGCUAGGUUUUUGCUACCUUCCUUUUGCGUUUCCCGAGGAAGCUGAAAUCCCCCAGGAGCUAAUCGAGAGGCUGGCUCACAGCGAAAUCCACAGCAUCCGCGAUUUGCAGCGCCUCCUGGAGAUUGAUUCCGUAGGAUAUGACGAUGUUUCAGAAACAAACUUGAGAUCUCAUAGUGUUCAUUCUGCUAAACAUGUUCAAGAGAAUCACCCUGUACCCAUUCGCAGAAAAAGAAGCAUUGAGGAAGCCAUUCCUGCCGUCUGCAAAACAAGAACUGUUAUAUACGAGAUACCUCGGAGUCAGAUCGAUCCCACAUCUGCUAAUUUCCUGAUAUGGCCACCGUGCGUGGAGGUGAAACGUUGUACUGGCUGUUGCAACACCAGCAGCGUGAAAUGCCAGCCGUCACGGAUACAUCACAGAAGUGUCAAGGUGGCAAAAGUGGAAUAUGUUAGAAAAAAGCCAAAAUUAAAAGAAGUUCUGGUGAGGUUAGAAGAGCAUAUGGAAUGCACCUGUACAUCAUCAAAUUCUAAUUCAGAUUAUCGAGAAGAAGAAACUGCUUUCCAAAAUGUUUAUUGUGGACAACGAUUAAGCAGUUGAAUUUUCAAGAUGAAAAGCUUGUGCGUAUAUGAGAAAAAUGGGAUGUCAGUUCAGAAUCAGGCGUAUGAAGGAAAUGAUCAGAAUGGCAGAAGACAAUGAUUCAUAUCCAUAGUUAUAGGUGAGAAAAUGUUAUGGAUGGCAAGUUUAAAAUAACUAAACUACAGGGACUGAAGGCAAAUGUUGAAUACAAUAGCUAACAGUAGUUACAAGGCAGAUCUAUCACCACCAACACCAUCUUGGGUUACUGGACCUUUGCUUUUAUAUAAUUACUCUACUUAUGCAAACAUUAUUUCAAAAUCGGAAGUUAUAAAGAAAUACCUGUAAUGCAAAAGAUUGUGAGUAUUCUGUGAGAGAUAACAACUUGAGUGUUUAUUACUUCAGUUUUCAACAAAAUGCAUUAUCUUAGGGCUUUUUACCAGCCUACCCUUAUGUUAACAGGAAGGCCUAGGGAAACAGGUAAAAAACGGAAACGAAAAAGGUUAAAACCAACAUAAAAACUACUGGAACUAUUUGCUAAUCAGAUUAACAGGUAUUUAUUGGGAGUAGUAUGAUAGAAGCAAAGAUUUUGUAAAAUUCAACUUUAAAAGUCAGCAUGUAAACUCAAUCAAAACAGCAUUUAGAACUUCUUGUCCCAGAUGUAAGGUGAAAUAAGCUAGAAAAAAAAAGAACUUCUCUCUGGGACAUGGAUGUACAUGGUUUGUUACAUUCCUGAACCUACUAUGUAUGGUGCUUUAUUGACUGUAUACUUUAUUUGUUCUCCUGUGUGAAAAAAACUGGCUGAAAAGAACACUUAAUGAGAACAAAGAGACAAUGUACAUUUGUUUAAUGUGACAUCAAAGCAAGUAUUGUAGCACUCUGUGAAACAAUAGGAAGCUUCCCUGUCCAAAAAAACACAAAACAACAAAACAAACAAAGAAAAUAAAAAAGACAGUUGAAUGAAUGGAGGAUACCAAAAGUACAAAACAAAAAAUAAAAGAGGAAGAAGAAGAAGAAGAAAAAAAGAGACAAAAAUCUUAAGUGAAUAGUGGAUUUCUGUCGGAGCAGUCAAUGGUGCUUUAUGUCAAGAAAUGUGCCUGCUUUCUUGAUGAAGAUGGAUGGACACAAAUGGACUUCAGGCACAAAAAAGCAGGAAUGUAUCAAAUGAUCAAAUGCCACGCAAACACUAUAGAAACAGUACAUCCUUGCUUGGUGGUGUUUUAAAGUCUAUACAAAAAAAGAAUACCUUCUGGGGAGCCUUAAAUGGAUUUUUUUUUACACCAUAAAGUGAUUAUUAAGCUUUCUUUUUACUCUUUGCCUAGCUUUUUAUUAUCUCUUGGACUACAUUUAUCAGUAACACAUAUAGAAGACUGGUGUAACAGUAAGCAGAACACAAACAUUAUGGUAUUUCUCCUAGUGGGAUGCAAACUAAUGAGAUAUAUUAAAAUAAAAAUGGUAUACCUAUGCAUAAUUUUCUAGACGUUUCUUGGUUUAUGUCUCCCAACCUCCCCCGUAAUUUAAAGCAUUUAAAAAAACCUGAUGUGUGUAAACAAAUCAUAGGAUAUCCACGCAAAUAUCCUUUUUUUCUUUGAGACUUAUGCCAGUUGCCUAAUAGUGAUAUUGUGUUAGCAAUUGCCAUUCUUAUUGGUAUACAAAUACUUUUAUUUCACAUGUUGGCGCUAUGUGAAAUGUACAAAUUCUUGUAUCCGCAUUGUACAAUGUCAUUGUGGCAUGGGAAAGCCCUUGCUGCAAAUAGUUGAACAAAACCUAAAAUUCUUUAUUUUUGGUAAAAUGUUAUGCUUUAUGUGUAUUCAACAGAAAUAUGUGUUUUGUAAAGGUGAAGUUUGUAUUUUUAUCUAAAAUUAACAGUUUUAUAUACCUAAGAAAGCCUGCUAUGUUUUCUUGAACAAAAAAGAAAAGAAAAGAAAAAGCAUUUUGUGGUCAUAUUUUUGUAGUUGAAUAGCCCAAAUAACUUCAAAAUAUAUUUUAAGUAUAGCAGGGCAGAUAAAAUACUCAGGCACCAACUCCUACAUUUUCAAAGUGCCGAGGAAUUUAAUUGUUCAACUCCUCCAGGGACUGUAAUGGGAGCCACAUAGCUAAUUCUUGUCUGCUGCUUUGGAAAUGUAGGCCUGUGCCAUAUAGACCAUGGCUACCCUGUUAGCCAAAAUCACUGCCCCAGCCUGGUGGUUUAGAUGAUAUGCCCUUUGUGUUACAGUCUUUGGAUUAUCACAUUGGACAUGUAAAAUAAACUACUGGGUUCUUUUCUUUAUGAAACAUCUCCAAUAAGGCUUCUCUUGCUGUCAGAUGAAUCUGUUCUAGGGGCCAGUUUGUCACCUAUGUGUUUCAGGCAUAGAAUAUCAGGGUUGGAAGGGACCUCAGGAGGUCAUCUAGUCCAACCCCUUGCUCAAAGCAGGACUAAUCCCCAGACAGAUUUUUGCCCCAGAUCCCUAAAUGGCCCCCUCAGGGAUUGAACUCACAACCCUAGGUUUAGCAGGCCAAUGCUCAAACCACUGAAAGAUUCCUCUCUCCUUUGUACAUAAUGACAAAAGAGCAAGUCUUGAGGAUAAUGUAUCCACCCUGAAUUAAAAAUCUCAAAUGUGAAUGAACUCCAGACCUUUAAGAUAUAACAAAAAAAGAGAGAUUUUGUUAACACAUCCGCCCACCCACUAUAGCUAUGCCCAAUUCCAACCAAACGAAGCAAUUUUAAUGAACAGGCAUUGGUUUCAACUGCUAAUACAGGGAUAGAAUUAGUCACUAUCCUGUUUGCGAUCAUCUUCCCAGUGUAUUACAUUAAGCACCAAAACUGGAAAUACAUUUACUAAAACUAUCUGUGCUUGUUCUUCACUAAGUGUACUGUUCACAAUGUUAUGCCCAUGAAUGUAUGUGUCUGCAUUCAAAAGAAAAGUGUAUAAAUUGUAAUUUAUAUAUUUAUGUUUCGGUGGGAUGUCAAUAGUGUUGCUCAGUUUUGUUUUUUGUUUUUUUCUUUUGGGGGUGGUUGUCUAAAACAGCUAAUGAAAAAAGAAUUCAUAUAUCUCUAUUAAAAUCAUGUAGAUGAAAAAUAUGUGGCCCACUCAGACGUUGUGCAAGUUUGAAAGGAUGCCGAAGUCACUUAAGUGGAAUAGUGCAUGAGUGGAUUUUUCAACUAAGGUUGCACUGGCACAGUAGGGAUGAAUUUAAAUCACUCACCUGGGCCAGAUCUUCAGACAGUUUAAUUUGGUGUAGCCCCAUCGAUUAUAAUGGUGUGUUUACACCACCUGAGUAUAUUUAAUCUUGAUGAAAAUGCAAGUAACAGGCAUGCAUUUUCCUGGUGCCAGCAUAGAAAUCUAUUAUGCCAAGUUUGAAAGGAGAGAAUGAAGACUGAAUGAAGAACUUUCUGGUAAUUAUUUGUCUGAGAUUUGAAAUCUGUAAUUCAUUUUGUUACCAGGCAUUAGGAGCAUACAAAGUCUUUAUUUUCAAACCCAGUGUUUACAUGGUUCACAGUAGCAAUCAUCAAAGUCUUAGGGCCAGAUUCUCAGCUGGUGUAAACUGACAAGCUCUAUUAACUUCAGUUUACAUCAGCUGAGGAUCUGGACCACAGUCUUUAAAAUAUUGCUGAAUGUUGUAAUUUGUGCCAUUGAUUCUAUUCCAGUUGAAAUUCUAUCUGCAAGCAUUUCCAGCAUUACUGUCUGUUGAAUCAGUCCUCAUCUAUUUCUGUGAUAAAACAAAUAUAACCAGGAGGAACAGUAACAUUAAGGCUUGUGACUCAAAAUAGCAUAAGCAAGGGACAGUAAUUCAAAGUUAAGUUGGGCAUUUUGAGGGCCAGAUCCUCAGUUCACGUAAAACAAUAGCUCCACUGACUUCAAUGGAGUUAUGCCAAUUUACACCACUUGAAGGUCUGGUCCUCUACCCUUUACUCAUCCCCUUUGGUCUCAGGUCUUGCAAGGAUCGCAGAUAAUUGCGUAUGGUUAAAGUAACAUCAUGUUCCAACACUUUAAGCACCAUAGGUGAGUUUGAGAAAGAGUGUCAGGCUUAACUUCGAAUUUCCAUGCUUUGCAAUGGUUUGUUUCACCAUUGUAGCUGUAAAUUAAACAGUUUUCUGUGCAUUCACAAA